UGUUUGCACUGUGUCCAGGGCCGCAGUGCAGGGAGGGGGGUGUGGCCUCCCGGCAGGAGGGAGGACCACACUCGGGCGCUCCGGGCUGGGUCGGCUCUGCCAGUUCUCCCGUUCCGAGCCCCUUGUGUAGUUACACGCCGCCCCAUGCUCUUCUCACAGUGACUGUCCCAGGGUGCCUCGGGGCUGCUCCAUGGCACGGCGCUCCUUGGCCAGCGUGGCUGCCCUGAGGCUGCUCCUGUCCCCGGUCCCCACAAAGCUUCCACACGGCAGCCCAGUGUGCACCCCUCAGACUCUUCAUCUCUGCCGCUGGCUUCUAGAAGACACGUCCUUCUCCUCGGCCCCACCUCAGCCCCGUCAGACCUGCCCCCCGCCCCCGGCUCAGUGCAGCUCUCCUCCAGCGAGGGCGCCGCAGCCCAGGACGUGAUCCAGGUUUGCCGCUCGGGGUCCGGAGUCCUGGGCACAAGCCAGUUGAAGCCCCUGGCACUGCCGAGGUGGGUGCUCUGCGGCCCUGGAUGAGACCUCGCCACUCCCAAUGCCUCUGUCUCUCCUGGGGCUGGCCUCUUCUGUCUCCAGGGUGACAGGAAGGAUGGGGGGGCGUGUGAGAGACUGGACGUGAUCCCUGCAGCUGGCGCUUUACCAGAUGUGGGGGUGUGUGCGGCAAAGCCCGGGGUGCAGAGAAGCACAUAAAGCAGACCGGGAGACCCCGGAGCAUCCCUGACGGUCACUUACUUGAUGCCUGACUCCCUCUAACGUUGGCAGUGGCGUCGGGGGCAGUGUGGUGGCUCCACCUACUGAAGCGCAUCGUCCAAAGGCUCCAAGCUGCUGUGUUUACUCCAGUUGGGGUGGGGUGAGAAGUGGGGGUCCCCUGUGCCUCUCCCCAUGUGGCAACCCGUCCAGCACCCCUGGAGGACGAGCACGGCCUGGGCAGGAGGAGGGGCCCCUGGACCCCCUGCCCAGGGUCUGGGCGCGCGGGACCCACCCUGGGCUCUCACUGGGCUCUGGGGAGAGUUACUCUGUUCACACUCAUUUCCAUGAAUAACACACUUACCAUGUUUGUCCCCAAACUGAUGUUGGAGAAAACAAUUCACUCUGCCUUCAGGGAGACGCCGGGCUAGUCUGAAGACUGUUGCUGCCUCGGAAGCUCUCAGAGCAGGGAGGCCAGUGCCAGGGUGGAGGCGGCUCAGCCCCCGGGGUCAGUGGUGGCAGGCAGGGUUCAGAACCAGCCAGAGCUGGCGCCAUCCUUGUUCAGCCUGUGGGAGGGAGUCAGUGUGGACUGUGUUUGGACCGAGGCAGAAGCCGGUGGGCGGUGCAGAGGCCAGGCUGGGGGCGUGGUGGGGGCGGGGAAGGCCCACUCUGCUGCCGUGCAGUGUGGGACACCCCCCGGUGCCUCCCUCUACCUGACCCUGCCCUCAGUCACCUCUUAGACGGCUGGUGAUGCCACCUGUCUAUCCAGGAAAGGCCUGCAGAGUUUCAUUUUAAAAUAAGCAAAAAGUAACAAGGAAACAUCGAGUAAAUAAUAGUUCUGGUGAAGCACAGCUGGCGAGUCGUGCAGGUGCUCAGGAGUUCACUGCCAUCCAUAGCGGGACCCUUGAGCAGGAGGGUGGGGCCAGGUGGCAUCUUGGAAAUGGUGGCUUGGGAGGCAGCUCUGGAGAACAGACUGGAGAGGAUCACAAGGGGAUGUAGGGAGGACCGUCAGGAGGCUGGGGCCCCACGUGGUCCAGGGGAGACGCCGUGAGACCGAGCCUGGGGAUACUGCGGGGCAGGGGUGGGGCCAGGUCCCUGCUCACAGAGGCCAAGGGCUGGCAUGGCCAAGCCCCUGACCCAGAGCUCCUGGCCAGGGGGUCCCAGUGGUCCUGCAGGGCCUCUCAGACCAGGCCAUGAAGAGCCUCACUAGGUGGACAGGACCCGCCAUCCAACUCGGGCACAGGAUGUCUAAAGCCAGCAGGGAGGCCUUGGUGGAUGGGACAGUCUUGAAUCUCUUUGUGCAGGUGAGGAAAUGGAGGCACGGGGCUUCCUAGGUAGUCAGUGGGGAGCGGGACUCAGCCCAGCCUCCGCCUUGUCAUCCAGGCGAAGUCAGUGGACAUGCCCACUUCCCACACUUGGUGCCGGGCACUGGGGCCUGUGAGGAACACAGGGCAGCCCCAGGCCUGGAGGCACGGGAUUCAGGC
ensembl:lncRNA